GAUUAUGGCUCAGAUGAACGCUGGCGGCAGGCCUAACACAUGCAAGUCGAACGGUAACAGGAGAAGCUUGCUCUUGCUGACGAGUGGCGGACGGGUGAGUAAUGUCUGGGAAACUGCCUGAUGGAGGGGGGAUAACUACUGGAAACGGUAGCUAAUACCGCAUAACGUCGCAAGACCAAAGAGGGGGACCUUCGGGCCUCUUGCCAUCGGAUGUGCCCAGAUGGGAUUAGCUAGUAGGUGGGGUAACGGCUCACCUAGGCGACGAUCCCUAGCUGGUCUGAGAGGAUGACCAGCCACACUGGAACUGAGACACGGUCCAGACUCCUACGGGAGGCAGCAGUGGGGAAUAUUGCACAAUGGGCGCAAGCCUGAUGCAGCCAUGCCGCCGUGUAUGAAGAAGGCCUUCGGGUUGUAAAGUACUUUCAGCGGGGAGGAAGGGAGUAAAGUUAAUACCUUUGCUCAUUGACCGUUACCCGCAGAAGUAAGCACCGGCUAACUCGUGCCAGCCGCCGC
rnacentral:rRNA from 1 species